UGGAUUUCACAAUCACACACAAUCACAGACGAGCACUACAUACUACACACUACACAUCUAGUUUAACAUUUUACUUCUCCCCCAAUCGAAGGGGGCACUUCGUGGCAACCGGCACGUGAUCGAGGACCUCACCCUAGACGAUGGCAAUGCUGUUCCCAUCUACAACGAUAUGAUCCAGGGGCGCGAUCGUGGGCUGAACGAGAAACUGGAUGCUCAAAACGUUUUGAAUGCCAGCUUGGAGUGGAGGAGAAUGCGAUGGUGUUCCGGUUAUCCGCAGGCCAGCCUCUGGCGCGGACGUGUUCAACAGCUCGGCGAGCGACUGAUUUGUUGCCGCAAAAUACCAGACUAUUGUGUAGUUUUUUUUGGGACUUAUUUCUAUUCGUUGACUGAGUGACUAAAAAUAAUGAAAACCUAUAAGUGCUAAGCCACACUGUGAGAGGGAGCUGGUUUUCUUCGUUCGUUUCAAAGGGAACUUCAUUUUAAAACCGGAAGUCUGAUCACGACUUCGCCAACGAGCUC